rnacentral:tRNA from 1 species
UGGAAUAUAGCUCAGUGGUAGAGCACUUGCCUAGAAUGCAUCAGGCCCUCAGUUCAAUUCCUAGUACCCCAG